UGGGGAAUAUUGCACAAUGGGCGCAAGCCUGAUGCAGCCAUGCCGCGUGUGUGAAGAAGGCCUUCGGGUUGUAAAGCACUUUCAGCGAGGAGGAAGGUGGUGAACUUAAUACGUUCAUCAAUUGACGUUACUCGCAGAAGAAGCACCGGCUAACUCCGUGCCAGCAGCCGCGGUAAUACGGAGGGUGCAAGCGUUAAUCGGAAUUACUGGGCGUAAAGCGCACGCAGGCGGUUUGUUAAGUCAGAUGUGAAAUCCCCGGGCUCAACCUGGGAGCUGCAUUUGAAACUGGCAAGCUAGAGUCUCGUAGAGGGGGGUAGAAUUCCAGGUGUAGCGGUGAAAUGCGUAGAGAUCUGGAGGAAUACCGGUGGCGAAGGCGGCCCCCCUGGANGAAGACUGACGCUCAGGUGCGAAAGCGUGGGGAGCAAACAGAUUAGAUACCCUGGUAGUCCACGCUGUAAACGAUGUCGAUUUGGAGGUUGUGCCCCUUGAGGCGUGGNUUCCGGAGCUAACGCGUUAAAUCGACCGCC
rnacentral:rRNA from 1 species